rnacentral:tRNA from 1 species
GAGGGUAUAGCUCAGUGGUAGAGCAAUGCUUAGCAUGCACUGGGUUCAACCCCCAAUACCUCCA